GCUGCUGUAGCUCAGUAGGUAGAGCACAUCCUUGGUAAGGAUGAGGUCCCCAGUUCAAAUCUGGGUAGCAGCUCCA
rnacentral:tRNA from 1 species